CCUUCUCCGCCGCCGCCACCCACGCCGGUGAUUUCGGCAGCUUCCGGCGAUUCCGGCUGCUGCCGACGACGCCAAGCACACUCGCAUGAUCGCCUCCGUCCGCUCCGUCUUCCCUUCCGAGCAGAUUCGUCGCUCGCGUCCUCUAUCGGUCACCCGCGACCGUCCCCUAAGCUAGGGUUUCGGCCACCGCGUCGCCGGCGUGGCUCCGGCGGCUCAGGUACAUCUCUCCAUCGAGAUCCCUCGCAACCCACCCUCUCUUACUCACCUAUAUCCUCUCCCUCCCAGAUCGAGCACGCCAAUGUCGCCGUCGUUUCGCUUGCGCUAGAACAGCAAAGGGAAGGCCAUGGACGACGCCGCUCCAGCCCUUCUCCGACGCCAUCAAGCAGUAGCAGCAACUCGAUGCAGGGACGAGGGAGAGGAGGAGUCCUGCUUCCCCGGCGUGCAUCCUCUCUCUCGGAACGACACCCAACCUCAAGCGAGAGCAGGCAUCCUCCGUGGAUGAUGACGACAACCAGGGCAUCCACCGCCACGACGACACCCCGCACAUGGUCCAACUCGGCUACAAGCUCCUCUACCGCGCGACUGCGGCCGCGGUCGUGUUCGGCAUCGACUAUAAUCUCCUCUCCGGAUCUUUGGUUCAUUAUACUGACUGCAUGCCACCUCUGUCAUCGCUGCCCCGUCUCCCGCACCAUCGGCACCGCCCCUCCGCCUUCUCCUUUGAUGCUGUAGUGGAUUCUUAGAAUGAAAAUGUUGUGUACAUCAAAAAUAUUUUAUGUUCUAUGUUUGCAAAACCAUGGUUGUUGAAUC